GGAGUUUCUGCUUCCUGUCUUUGGGAGCCGUGAGCUACCUGCUAAGAAGGUUAGACCACUCCACUUAAGAGAGAGGCCACGUGCACAAGCACUGAAGGACUAGAUGUGUGAGCAAGGAGGCCAUCUUGGGGAACAGCCAGCCCAGCCGAGCCUACAGAAGACUCCAGCCCCAGUCAUUUGAUGGCAGCCACAGAAGGAAGCCAAGCAAUGCCCAGCUGAGCUCAGAUAAAAAGCGACUCAAGGGAGGACAUGUCUGUGUUUUUCUGCCUGACAUUGUUGUGUCUACACUGAUUUCUGGAACGAUGAAAGCUAUAUUCUGACCAUAAAGGGACAGCUCUCAGGACAGCCAGUAAGCUGAGGAUGAC
rnacentral:lncRNA from 1 species